CUGAGUGCUAACUGCCCUUGAGUAGCUCAAACAAUGGUACCAACACUGGAGAUGGGAGAGACUGUGUUUGUGCCUCAUAGGAUCAUCUGCUAUCAGACGUGCUGCCAAUAGUUUGGAAGUGAAAAUGAGAGCGGUGGGUCGGAGCCUAGUCUCCAUUUGUGUAUCUCACAAAUCGUCAGAGCUGGUGAAUUCUAGGACUGACCCUGCGAUUCCCUGAAGUUCUUUGCACUCGACCUCUCUCGCUCACUUAUGAUCUCACCAUAUUGGUUCGCCUGCCUGUCCAGUUUUGUCUGCUGCUUCACAAUGCAGAGAUGCAGUUGCCACUGCCAAUUCCACUGUUUUCCAAUGGAUAGCACUAAGCUGUUUGGAAGAUGCUCAGAAAGUUGCAGUGGAAAUGGGUUAGUGCAGCAGGGUGAAGAAUGGCGAGGAGAAGCAGACAGCUCAUAUGACUGUAAGGAGCCUUCCCCCAGCAAAGCUGGAAGCAUGAGGAGCCACUGAUCUGUGGGAACAUGGUGGGACUGGCUGCCACAUGCAUGAGUGUCACUGGAGAAGCCCGGCUGAUGCCAGUGAGGUUUGGCAGGAAACUAAAUCUUGAAACAU